rnacentral:rRNA from 1 species
GACGAACGCUGGCGGCGUGCCUAAUACAUGCAAGUAGAACGCUGAAGGAGGAGCUUGCUUCUCUGGAUGAGUUGCGAACGGGUGAGUAACGCGUAGGUAACCUGCCUGGUAGCGGGGGAUAACUAUUGGAAACGAUAGCUAAUACCGCAUAAGAGUAGAUGUUGCAUGACAUUUGCUUAAAAGGUGCAAUUGCAUCACUACCAGAUGGACCUGCGUUGUAUUAGCUAGUUGGUGGGGUAACGGCUUACCAAGGCGACGAUACAUAGCCGACCUGAGAGGGUGAUCGGCCACACUGGGACUGAGACACGGCCCAGACUACUACGGGAGGCAGCAGUAGGGAAUCUUCGGCAAUGGACGGAAGUCUGACCGAGCAACGACGCGUGAGUGAAGAAGGUAUUCGGAUCGUAAAGCUCUGUUGUAAGAGAAGAACGAGUGUGAGAGUGGAAAGUUAACACUGUGACGGUAUCUUACCAGAAAGGGACGGCUAACUACGUG